rnacentral:rRNA from 1 species
AACGCGAAGAACCUUACCUACCCUUGACAUCCUUGGAAUCCUCUGGAGACAGAGGAGUGCCUUCGGGAGCCAAGAGACAGGUGCUGCAUGGCUGUCGUCAGCUCGUGUCGUGAGAUGUUGGGUUAAGUCCCGUAACGAGCGCAACCCUCGUCCUUAGUUGCCAGCCCCGCUUUGCGGGGGGAACUCUAAGGAGACUGCCGGUGAUAAACCGGAGGAAGGUGGGGAUGAUGUCAAGUCAUCAUGGCCCUUAUGGGUAGGGCUACACACGUGCUACAAUGGACAGUACAAAGGGUCGCUAAACCGCGAGGUGGCGCUAAUCCUAAAAACUGUUCGUAGUCCGGAUUGGAGUCUGCAACUCGACUCCAUGAAGUUGGAAUCGCUAGUAAUCGUGAAUCAGCAUGUCACGGUGAAUACGUUCCCGGGCCUUGUACACACCGGAGUGC